UCUAAUAUGGCAGAUUAGUGCGAUGGAUUUAAGCUUCAUAUAUAAGGAUUCUCCUUUAUUAGAA
rnacentral:tRNA from 1 species